rnacentral:misc_RNA from 1 species
GAUGAAGAACGCAGCGAAAUGCGAUAAGUAAUGUGAAUUGCAGAAUUCAGUGAAUCAUCGAAUCUUUGAAAGCACAUUGCGCCCGCCAGUAUUCUGGCGGGCAUGCCUGUCUGAGCGUCAUUUCAACCCUCAAGCAACUUCUGCUUGGUGUUGGGGAUCGGCCGUCAAACGCCGCCCCCGAAAUCUAUUGGCGAUCUCGCUGUAGCUUCCUAUGCGUAGUAGUAACAUCUCGCAUCUGGAGAGCGGCGCGGUCAUGCCGUAAAACACCCAACUUCUCAGGUUGACCUCAGAUCAGGUAGGAAUACCCGCUGAACUUAAGCAUAUCAAUAAGCGGAGGA